CAGUCGAACGGAAAGGCCCGCUUGCGGGUACUCGAGUGGCGAACGGGUGAGUAACACGUGGGCAACCUGCCCUCAGCUCUGGGAUAACUCCGGGAAACCGGUGCUAAUACUGGAUAUCGACUUCUGCUCGCAUGGGUGGUUGUUGAAAGUUUUUCGGCUGGGGAUGGGCCCGCGGCCUAUCAGCUUGUUGGUGGGGUGAUGGCCUACCAAGGCGACGACGGGUAGCCGGCCUGAGAGGGCGACCGGCCACACUGGGACUGAGACACGGCCCAGACUCCUACGGGAGGCAGCAGUGGGGAAUAUUGCGCAAUGGGCGGAAGCCUGACGCAGCGACGCCGCGUGAGGGAUGACGGCCUUCGGGUUGUAAACCUCUUUCAGCUCUGACGAAGCGUGAGUGACGGUAGGAG
rnacentral:rRNA from 1 species